AAAAAACUAUUUAUUUACAUUAAAAAAUGUAAAAAUAAGUGUUUUUUUCUUUACACAUUGAGUCAAGAGUCAUAUUAAAAUCCGCUGGGACCACAAACAGGGAUUAUGUUCUGAAAUCUGACAUUAUAAAUUCUUUCAUAUUCAAAAUCUGUGGUGAAUAUUUGAUCUUUUCAUAUUCUCUUUCUCUGCUGUUUUCUCUCCAAAAAGCGAGCACGAGCUUCUGUAAUUGAGCUUUCAUCGUUUCUCUUCUCCAGCUUCUUUGCUGCAUCCUCUCUGGCCUCUAUUUAAACAAACAAAAAAAGUAUUACAAAAAAACAAGAUGGAAUCUGACAUAGCUC
rnacentral:lncRNA from 1 species